rnacentral:rRNA from 1 species
UAGUCAUAUGCUUGUCUCAAAGAUUAAGCCAUGCAUGUCUAAGUAUAAACAAAUUUGUACUGUGAAACUGCGAAUGGCUCAUUAAAUCAGUUAUAGUUUAUUUGAUGUUACAUUGCUACAUGGAUAACUGUGGUAAUUCUAGAGCUAAUACAUGCAAUCAAGCCCCGACUUCUGGAAGGGGUGUAUUUAUUAGAUAAAAAACCAACGCGGCUCGCCGCUCCCUUGGUGAUUCAUAAUAACUUCUCGAAUCGCAUGGCCUUGUGCUGGCGAUGCUUCAUUCAAAUUUCUGCCCUAUCAACUUUCGAUGGUAGAGUAGUGGUCUACCAUGGUAUCAACGGGUAACGGGGAAUUAGGGUUCGAUUCCGGAGAGGGAGCCUGAGAAACGGCUACCACAUCCAAGGAAGGCAGCAGGCGCGCAAAUUACCCAAUCCCGACACGGGGAGGUAGUGACAAUAAAUAACAAUAUAGGGCCCUAUUGGGUCUUAUAAUUGGAAUGAGUACAAUUUAAAUCCCUUAACGAGGAACAACU